AUAAAUUACACUUUCCUUCUCUCCCAGUGUGUCCACGUCAUCAAUUCGGUCGACGUCGUGGCGACACGUGUCCCAUAGUCUACAACUCUGCGUUUCAUUAAGUAUUUAGCGACAUUUAUUGGGUUUCUUCUAAAGAUUUUUUUUCCGCCAUUCGAGCGAUGGGGUUUGGUGAAAUCGACGAGUUUAAUCCGUUCGGAGGGUUUCGAUUGCGCCGGUUGAGAUUCUUCUUCAUCAGUCGAAACGCUUCCUCUUCUUUAUAAAGAUAGAUUGGAAUGGCAAACGUGUCUCAACUACACUCCGAUUUGAAAGCCGGCUACACCGUCAAAGUUCUUCUCCUGGGAUUUUGGGAGACUGGCAAUGUAAAGAAAGGCUGCUAGCUUCUGGGUCUCACAACUCUCAUGAAGAAGCCAAGAGCAGAGAACUAUAGGUCUCACAACUCUCAUGAAGGAGCUCAUGUCUUUACUUUUCUCUUUACCUUUUUGUUUUUUUUUUGGGCAGUUUUUAAUGUUUCUUUUAAGAAUCCAUAAAUUUCUCUCCUUUUUGCCAAAUUAAAUCUGCUGAUCAUCUUCUUUUAGAUGCUCAAAAUUGGUCAAUGCUUUGAGGACAUUCCUUUGUAUUCUUUGUUAGAUACAUGUAUGGAUAUUGUUAGUUGAAUCUGAGUUUCUUAGUAAACUGAGAAUUCACUUUCAUAAAGUGAUUAACAAUAGUUAAUUCUUACUUUGUUUAGUUUCGUUCUACAGAUAGUACAAAUUUGUGUUUGCUUAUUCCUCAGCGCAACGUCCAGAAUACACUCUUAUUAUGAUCAGGAAACUCAAGCCAGCAAGAACUUUCUUAAAGUACUAGGUUGGUCUUGGUCUGGCUCCAUAUCUUCGUUUCCCCACCUCAGACUUUUGAGUUCCUUUGCAAAGCCAAAUUCAGUGAAAUUGAGACAAUCAAUGGAUGGUGCUCCUUCUCCCGUUCUAAGUGCUAUCAAAAGCUACAGAAGGGUUUCACAUCUUUUACAUGUUCAAGAUGUAAUGAUGACAAUGCUAUUGGGGUAAUGUAUUCUCACAGUAAUUGUAGAGAUUGUUUUCUCAUCCUAUGCGUAUUGUCUCAACCUAGGCUGUACUAACAUCUUUUAACCAUGUCAUUGUGAAGGAUUGUCUACAGUAUUGUCAUCA